AACGAUGUCUACUAGUCGUUGGGUCCCUUGAGGACUUAGUGACGCAGCUAACGCAAUAAGUAGACCGCCUGGGGAGUACGGCCGCAAGGUUAAAACUCAAAUGAAUUGACGGGGGCCCGCACAAGCGGUGGAGCAUGUGGUUUAAUUNGAUGCAACGNGAAGAACCUUACCUGGUCUUGACAUAUCUAGAAUCCUGCAGAGAUGCGGGAGUGCCUUCGGGAAUUAGAAUACAGGUGCUGCAUGGCUGUCGUCAGCUCGUGUCGUGAGAUGUUGGGUUAAGUCCCGCAACGAGCGCAACCCUUGUCCUUAGUUACCAGCGGUUUGGCCGGGAACUCUAAGGAUACUNCCAGUGACAAACUGGAGGAAGGCGGGGACGACGUCAAGUCAUCAUGGCCCUUACGACCAGGGNUACACACNUGCUACAAUGGUAGGUACAGAGGGCAGCUACACAGCGAUGUGAUGCGAAUCUCAAAAAGCCUAUCGUAGUCCAGAUUGGAGUCUGCAACUCGACUCCAUGAAGUAGGAAUCGCUAGUAAUCGCGGAUCAGAAUGCCGCGGUGAAUACGUUCCCGGGCCUUGUACACACCGCCCGUCACACCAUGGGAGUUGAUUGCACCAGAAGUGGGUAGCCUAACC
rnacentral:rRNA from 1 species